UUUUCAAAUUUAUCCGGGCUAGUGUGGACGUAAGAUCACAGGCUGUUCUAUUGACAUCACCAGUCCUCACACUUCAAAGCACAAAGCGUGUAAUGUCAUAGUAACGCAUUCUGCGAUAGGAGGUCAUAUAUAGGAGUGAACCUGACAUUCAUACAGCGUGAACUGGCUGCCUGCCCUCACGUCUGCAGUGCUGCCGUCUCCUGUAACCCUGCAUAUUACCAAGUUGCCUUUCCCCACCUGUAUCCAGUCAUCACACUUCAAAGCACAAAGCGUGUGAUGUCACAGUAACGCAUUCUGUGAUAGGAGGUCAUAUAUAGGAGUGAACCUGACACUCACACAGCCUGAACUGGCUGCCUGUCCUCACGUCUGCAGUGCUGCCAUCUCCUGUAACCCUGCAUGUUUCUAAGCUGCCUAUCCUCACCUGUGCAGUGCUGCUGUCUCCGGUUACCCUGAAAGUUUCUAAGUUGCAUAUCCCCACCUGUAUAGGAGUGAAAUUGACGCUCACACACCCUGAACUGGCUACCUGUCCUCACCUGUGCAGUGCUACCGUCUCCUGUCACCCUGCAUGUAUCCAACUUUAGUUUUCUCCGUUUUUAUGAUGUU